rnacentral:rRNA from 1 species
AUUGAACGCUGGCGGCAUGCUCUACACAUGCAAGUCGAACGGUAACAGGCCGCAAGGUGCUGACGAGUGGCGCACGGGUGAGUAAUGCAUCGGAACGUGCCCAGUCGUGGGGGAUAACUACUCGAAAGAGUAGCUAAUACCGCAUACGAUCUAUGGAUGAAAGCGGGGGACCGUAAGGCCUCGCGCGAUUGGAGCGGCCGAUGUCAGAUUAGGUAGUUGGUGGGGUAAAGGCUCACCAAGUCAACGAUCUGUAGCUGGUCUGAGAGGACGACCAGCCACACUGGGACUGAGACACGGCCCAGACUCCUACGGGAGGCAGCAGUGGGGAAUUUUGGACAAAGGGCGCAAGCCUGAUCCAGCAAUGCCGCGUGCAGGAAGAAGGCCUUCGGGUUGUAAACUGCUUUUGUACGGAACGAAACGGCUCUGGUUAAUACCCGGGGCUAAUGACGGUACCGUAAGAAUAAGCACCGGCUAACUACGUG